rnacentral:ribozyme from 1 species
UCAUCUGGACGAUGCAGGCAGCCACAAUUGAGGACCCUCUGAUCAAGGUGGAGGAGAGUAGAGCAAGACUGGCUCUAUUUUGGGCUGCUGAGGCGCAGGGCUUUUGUGGCAUGUGGAAUGCCUUAUCCAAG